CCUGGUGGCUCAGACAGUAAAGAAUCUGCUUUCAGUGCAGGAGACCCAGGUUCGAUUCCUGGGUCAGGA
rnacentral:tRNA from 1 species